AAUGUUUCAUCACAAUGAUACUGUUUUAUUUAAAGGAUUUAUGGACUUCUAUGGUUAGGAAACAAGAAGUACCUUUAUUUAUGUUCUACUUGGUUAGCUAAAAAAGCUGAUUUUGAUAUUGGUCCGUUUGGUCCUUUUGCUUCAGGUUUCCUUCAUAUCCUUCGAGUGGAGUCUUGGGGGAUUUACUAUGAACGAUGAUGAUGCCAGUAUGCAAAUCUGUGGGUCAUCAUUUAAUCCUAUAUGGGGUUCUUAGUUUUCUAAUCCCAAAUCAGCAAUUGCUUUACUGUUGCAGGCUGAAAUGUUGGGAUUUUGCUAUUGAUUCGAUGUUUGUGCUGGCUCUAAGUUCAAUGCUUGCAUCUCUGUUGUUUUCAAAUGUCUUAAUCUUCUUGAUCCAUUUCUAGGGGGUGAAUGUUUCAUCACAAUGAUACUAUUUUAUUUAAAGAAUUUAUGGACUUCUAUGGUUAGGAAACAAGAGGUACCUUUAUUUAUGUUCUACUUGGAGCUUUAUCCUCAUGCUGACAGGAUUUCUUUGUGCUUGGCACUCUGUCUCUUCUGUCAUAAUAUGUCCUACAGUUGAGUGGGGUCUGCUGUAAUUAACAAUGUCAUUACCGGUUUAAAAUUUAUGGACAUCCCAGUAAUUGCUCUGCCCUCGACCCUGAUCCCUUUGCCAUCCCACUACAAGGCGCAUGAAAUAUAAUCAUGCUUAAGUACUUAAAAAAUAGUCUUCAAUUACGAUCUAUUUUCUUUGCUAGCCUGAGCUAUGGCUCAUCCAAGCUUCAUAAUAUGACUUUUCGAGUCACUUUCAUUUGGGAUACUUUAUUUGUCAUGUAGUGUUGCUUCCCAUCCCUAAAAGCUGGACAUUAUUAUGGUAUUUCUACAUCAUGUGCAGCCAAAAACUCAUUAUUGUUAGAUACGAUGUUCCCGUGGGUUUUGUCUUUAUAUUAACUCUUUUUUUCUUUUUUUCACCCAUUUGGCAGGCCG
rnacentral:lncRNA from 1 species